AACGAACGCUGGCGGCAGGCUUAACACAUGCAAGUCGAACGGGUGCGAGCAAUCGCAUCAGUGGCAGACGGGUGAGUAACACGUGGGAACCUUCCUAGGGGUACGGAACAACUCAGGGAAACUUGAGCUAAUACCGUAUACGCCCCGGAGCAAUCCGGGGGAAAGGAUUCAUCGCCCCUACGACGGGCCCGCGUCGGAUUAGGUAGUUGGUGAGAUAACGGCCCACCAAGCCUAUGAUCCGUAGCNGAUCUGAGAGGAUGAUCAGCCACACUGGGACUGAGACACGGCCCAGACUCCUACGGGAGGCAGCAGUGGGGAGUCUUGGACAAUGGGGGAAACCCGUGAUCCAGCCAUGCCGCGUGAGUGAAG
rnacentral:rRNA from 1 species